UCCUUCUUUUCACAUGUCAUGACACUGGUUUGUAUUUGUUCUGCUCAUUUGUUCUGUACCUUUAGGGUCAAGAAUAGUGGUGACUUAGGAAGUGGCUUAAAGGGUGAUUUGUUGAAUGAAUAACACUGAAAUUCUCAGUUGGCUGCCUUAUCUUCAGUACUCAACACUUGCUAAUCCUUUUUUUAUGGUUCACUGUCUCUGCAGGACAAAGUACCAAAUCAGAAUUUAGUAAUACUAAAUUAAAAU